rnacentral:rRNA from 1 species
UACGUAGGGCGCAAGCGUUAUCCGGAAUUAUUGGGCGUAAAGAGCUCGUAGGCGGUUUGUCGCGUCUGCCGUGAAAGUCCGGGGCUCAACUCCGGAUCUGCGGUGGGUACGGGCAGACUAGAGUGAUGUAGGGGAGACUGGAAUUCCUGGUGUAGCGGUGAAAUGCGCAGAUAUCAGGAGGAACACCGGUGGCGAAGGCGGGUCUCUGGGCCGAAACUGACGCUGAGGAGCGAAAGCGUGGGGAGCAAACCGG